AGCCGGAGCAAGCCUGACUCGUGCAGCCGCCGGCCGCGUCCCUGGCCAGCCGGAGCGAGCCUCACUCCCGCAGCCGCCAGUCUCGUUCCAGGGCUCCCGCAGGUUUCGGGAGCCGAGGGGGACCGACAGGCGCUAGCCAAUCGCGAGCACGGAGCCGGCCUGGGGGCGGGGUGGUACCCGCUCCGCCAAUCGGGUGGGGGCGGAGCCAGACGCCGGGGGCGGACGGGAGGACUGGAGGACCGAGGACAGGAAGAUUGGUGGACAGGAGCAGCGACCGGUGGGGAGGGCGCUCGGCGGCGGCCUGCGGCCAUGGCCACCGUGAUGGCAACGACGGCGGCGGAGCGGGCGGUGCUGGUAAGGCGCGCGGGCCAGCGGGCGGGCCGGCGGGGCGGCGGGGCCGGGCGUGACCGCCGGGUCUGUCCCGCAGGAGGAGGAGUUCCGCUGGCUGCUGCACGACGAGGUGCACGCUGUGUUGAAGCAGCUGCAGGACAUCCUCAAGGAGGCCUCUCUGCGCUUCACUCUGCCGGGCUCCGGCACUGAGGGGCCCGCCAAGCAAGAGAACUUCAUCCUAGGCAGCUGUGGGUGAGCCUGGGCUAGGCGGAAACCGGGGAAAUGGGUACCUUGGGGGGUAGGAGGCAUGGCCAUAGCCCUGUCCUGCAGACCAGCUGGUUGUGCAAUGGGACAGGAGGGGCAGCCCGCCGGGAGGGAGGGCUGGGUGGUGGGGGGGUGACCACAGGCACCUCUCUGACGCCACAUGUUACAGCACAGACCAGGUGAAGGGUGUGCUGACUCUGCAGGGGGAUGCCCUCAGCCAGGCGGUGAGUCCCCCGGCCCUGUCCCCUCCCAUCCUGCCAAUGGGGAAGAGCAUGGGAGCUCCCACUUUCUCUCUGUACAAGCCCUGCGACUCUGGGCGGGACCCUUGAUCUCUCUGGCCUCAGUUUUCUCCUUUGGAAAAUGACAGCAACCCUCACACCUCCUCCCGGGAUCGGUGUGCAGAUUCAGUAAGAGGUGCAGGAGAGGGGUUCUUUGCACACGGCCUGGCCUGGCGUCCGGACC
rnacentral:sRNA from 1 species